UGAGGGAAUAUUGGGUCAAUGGGCGCAGGCCUGAACCAGCCAAGUCGCGUGAGGGAAGACGGUCCUACGGAUUGUAAACCUCUUUUGUCGGGGAGUAACGUGCGGGACGGGUCCCGUAUUGAGAGUACCCGAAGAAAAAGCACCGGCUAACUCCGUGCCAGCAGCCGCGGUAAUACGGAGGAUGCGAGCGUUAUCCGGAUUUAUUGGGUUUAAAGGGUGCGCAGGCGGCGCGCCAAGUCAGCGGUCAAAGUUCCGGGCUCAACCCGGUGUCGCCGUUGAAACUGGCGUGCUCGAGUGCGUGGGGAGCAAACAGGAUUAGAUACCCUGGUAGU
rnacentral:rRNA from 1 species